AGUUUUGGGUCCAAAGGAACAAUGUCUAACCUUUAACAUGUGGUGUGAGUGGAAGUUGACAGGGUUUUUUCGUUCACCAAAUCAGUAAAUUUGGUG